CCAUUAGCUAGGACUGGGUUGCUUUUAUUCUUUCUCAAAUUGGGUCCUUGAGAAUGAGUGGGAGUGCGUCUUCAUAGAAAUGUUAUCAGUUGUCUCAACAUUUUGCUUGUUUCUGUUUGAUGUGUGAUUAUCAUGUGCAUCUCUCUCAGGGAGGUUUGAUGUGUGAUUAUCAUGUGCAUCUCUCUCAGGGAGGUUUGAUGUGGGAUUAUAAUGUGCAUCUCUCUCAGGGAGGUUUUAUGUGUGAUUAUGUGUACCUCUCUCAGGGAGGUUUGAUGUGUGAUUAUCAUGUGCUACUCUCUCAGGGAGGUUUGAUGUGUGAUUAUCAUGUGCUACUCUCUCAGGGAGGUUUGAUGUGUGAUAAUAAUGUGUACCUCUCUCAGGGAGGUUUGAUGUGUGAUUAUCAUGUGCUACUCUCUCAGGGAGGUUUGAUGUGUGAUUAUAAUGUGUACCUCUCUCAGGGAGGUUUGAUGUGUGAUUAUCACAUGCACCUCAGUGUGAGCUUGAACUCAUAAAGACAGACCAGAGUAUACCA
rnacentral:lncRNA from 1 species